rnacentral:rRNA from 1 species
GCGGUUAUGUAAGUUGGAUGUGAAAGUCCCCGGGCUUAACCUGGGCACUGCAUUCAAAACUGCAUAGCUAGAGUAUGGGAGAGGAAGGUAGAAUUCCAGGUGUAGCGGUGAAAUGCGUAGAGAUCUGGAGGAAUACCGAUGGCGAAGGCAGCCUUCUGGCCUAAUACUGACGCUGAGGUGCGAAAGCAUGGGGAGCAAACAGGAUUAGAUACCCUGGUAGUCCAUGCCGUAAACGAUGUCAACUAGCCGUUGGGGACCUUGAGUCCUUAGUGGCGCAGCUAACGCGAUAAGUUGACCACCUGGGGAGUACGGUCGCAAGACUAAAACUCAAAUGAAUUGACGGGGGCCCGCACAAGCGGUGGAGCAUGUGGUUUAAUUCGAUGCAACGCGAAGAACCUUACCUAGCCUUGACAUGUCUGGAAUCUUGUAGAGAUACGAGAGUGCCUUCGGGAAUCAGAACACAGGUGCUGCAUGGCUGUCGUCAGCUCGUGUCGUGAGAUGUUGGGUUAAGUCCCGCAACGAGCGCAACCCUUUUCCUUAUUUGCCAGCACUUCGGGUGGGAACUCUAAGGAUACUGCCAGUGACAAACUGGAGGAAGGCGGGGACGACGUCAAGUCAUCAUGGCCCUUACGGCUAGGGCUACACACGUGCUACAAUGGUCGGUACAAAGGGUCGCUAACCCGCGAGGGCAUGCCAAUCUCAAAAAGCCGAUCGUAGUCCAGAUUGGAGUCUGCAACUCGACUCCAUGAAGUCGGAAUCGUCUAGUAAUCGCGGAUCAGA